ACAACAAAUGCAUUAGCCUAAGUUCCAACUAUUAUAAGUGGGGGCAUUGGGAGAGGGGUGCUAAGGUGGGGCAUGAUUCAAAAAAGGUUGAGAACCUCUAGUUUAAAUCCUUCUCUAUUUGGAAUUCAAUGCAUGAUAACUAAUUGAAUUGUCAUUCUUAAUUCUUAAGUAACUGCUUGGGUGAACUGCCCAUAAUUCCACUGGCAAACAACAUGAAUAGAAAUGGAUAAGAAUCUGCAUUAAAGAAGUCAUUGUUCAGUUUUAGUAGCAAAAUCACCUGCCCAGUGCAAUACAGAACUAAGGGACUCUGUCUCCUCUCUGUCUUGGAAUCUCUUCUCUUCAGUGACGCUGAGUUCACAGCAAAUCUUCAGCCAUGAAGAUCCUUUACCUGCUCUUUGCUGUUGUCUUCUUGGUGCUCCAGGGUGUCCCAGAAUUCUCCCAGGCUCAGAGGAUCAGCUUGGUGUGUACACAGCUUGGAGGUGCCUGCUUCCCUUGGAGAUGUCCGGCCAGUUCUAUGUACAUUAGAAGAUGCUAUCCACGGGGCGUUUGCUGUCGAAGGAGAUUUUUUGACUGACUGUCUAAUCAGGAUCUCUGGGAAUCUGGCAGCCAGCCACUUGCUUCUAAAAUCAUCAGAUCCUGCUUCAAUGGAACGCUGAAGUGCUGCUUAUUUGGGCUGUAAAGAACCUUGUGAGCUGGAGAAAUUCCAGAAAGGAGUCCUCGU